rnacentral:tRNA from 1 species
GGGGCUGUAGCUCAGUGGUAGAGCGCUCGCCUAGCACGUGUGAGGCCCUGGGUUCAAUCCUCAGCACCA